rnacentral:rRNA from 1 species
GACAGAGGGUGCAACCGUUGUUCGGAAUUACUGGGCGUAAAGCGCGUGUAGGCGGUUCGUAAAGUCGGAUGUGAAAGCCCUGGGCUUAACCCAGGAAGUGCAUUCGAAACUCACGAACUUGAGUCCCGGAGAGGAAGGCGGAAUUCUCGGUGUAGAGGUGAAAUUCGUAGAUAUCGAGAGGAACAUCGGUGGUGAAGGCGGCCUUCUGGACGGUGACUGACGCUGAGACGCGAAAGCGUGGGGGGCAAACAGG